GUUUUAAUAGUUUAAAUAAAAACAUUAGUCUUGUAAACUAAAAUUAAAAAAAAAUUUUUUAAAACU
rnacentral:tRNA from 1 species